CCUGGUUCAUCCUGCUAGUAGCAUAUGCUUGUCUCAAAGAUUAAGCCAUGCACGUGUAAGUACACACGGCUGGUACAAUGAAACUGUGAAUGGCUCAUUAAAUCUGUUAUGGUUCCUUUGAUCGCUCCAUCUGUUACUUGAUUAACUGUGGUCAUUCUAGAGCUAAUACAUGCCGACGAGUGCUGACCUCCCGGGAUGCGUGCAUUUAUCAGACCAAGACCAAGCUGUGCUCUCCCAGCCGCUAUGGUGACAUAAGAUAACCUCAAGCCGAUAGCAAGUCCCUGUGAUGGAAACAAUACAUUAUGAUGUCUGCCCUAUAAACUUUCGUUGGUACUUUCUAUGCCUACCAUGGUGAGCACGGGUAACAGGGAAUCAGGGCUCGAUUCCGGAGAGGGAGCCUUUGUAAUGGCUUCCAUAGGCAAGGAAGUUUUGAGGGGCACAAAUUACACACUCCCGAAUCGGGGAGGUAGUGACAGAAAAAACAAUACAGGAUUCUUUUGAGGACCUGUAAUUUGAAUGAGUACACUUUAAAGCCUUUAACAAGGAUCCCUUGUAGGGCUAGUCUGUUGCCAGCAGCCACCACAAUUCUAGCUUCAAUAGCAUUUAUUAAAGUUGCUGCAGUUAAAAAACUUGUAGUUGGAUCUUGAGAUCGAGCUGGCAGUCCGCCGCGAGGCGAGCUACCGCCUGUCCCAGCACCUGCCUCUCGGCGCCCCCUUGAUGCUCCUGACUGAUUGUCCUGGGGAUCCGAAGCAUUUACUUUGAAAAAAACUAGAGUGUUCAAAGCAGGCUGGUCACCUGAAUACUUCAGCUAGGAAUAGAGGGACAAGUGAUGUAUAGCCACACGAGCUCAAGCAAUAACGGGUCUAUGAUGCCAUUAUAUGUCCAGGGCUGCACGCGUGCGCUACACUGAAUGGAUCAGCAUGUGUCUACCCUUAACCGACAGAGUAACCUGCUGAGCCCCGUUGUGAUAGGGAAUGGGGAUUGCAAUUUCCCAUGAACGAGGAAUUCCCAGUAAGUGUGGGUCAGAAGCUCAUGUUGAUCAAGUCCCUGCCCUUUGUACACACCGCCCAUCACUACUACCGAUUGGAUGGUUUAGUGAGGUCCUCGGACCAGCGCUGGGGUAAGCAACGGCCCCGGUGGAGCGCCAAGAAGACAAUAUAACUUCACUAUCCAGAAGUAAAAGUCGUAACAAGGUUUCCAUAGGUGAACCUGUGGAAGGAUCCUUA
rnacentral:rRNA from 1 species